UAAUAAGUGUUUUAUGGCACUUUUUAAAUCCAUAUCCACCUUGUGUGCAAUGUCAGUCGAUCUUCUUCAUGGAGAUCGACCAAACAUCAACCUUUAUCUCUUAACAUCUUUGUCUGAAAAAUAUUAUGAAUAAACAAUUCAAAAUA
rnacentral:misc_RNA from 1 species